GACAGAGGGUGCAAACGUUGCUCGGAAUUACUGGGCGUAAAGCGCGUGUAGGCGGACCACCAAGUCGGACGUGAAAGCCCUGAGCUCAACUCAGGAACUGCAUCCGAAACUGGCGGUCUGGAGUAGUGGAGAGGAAAGCAGAAUUCCUGGUGUAGAGGUGAAAUUCGUAGAUAUCAGGAGGAACACCGGUGGCGAAGGCGACUACCUGGCCUGUUCUUGACGCUGAGGCGCGAAAGCUAGGGGAGCAAACGGG
rnacentral:rRNA from 1 species